CUUAAGCUUUUUACUGUAUAAUGAUUUUAGGUUUUCUUAUUUUAGCUAUUAUGGCUCCGGUUAAAAACUGGUACCCUUAACUUUGCUAGAAACCCUUCGUGCUAUCAUUAUUAUAAAUUAUUAUCGGUGUAAGAGAAUUCGACUACGACAACGCAUAUGAAGACCUGUUUGCGUACAUAGUCAUAUUCAAGUGUUAUAAUCAAAAAUGGCCGAAGCAGAAGUUUUAAGUAAGGAAAAGAGUGACGUCGUUUGUCCAGUUAAUUACAUACAAGUUGCAGUUGAAACGGAUGGAGUGACGCAGAAUGAAAAUAUGUUUAAGG